GUCUACGGCCAUGCCACCCUGAACAAGCCUGAUCCUGUCUGAUCUCGGAAGCUAAGCAGGGUCAGACCUGGUUAGUAAUUGAAUGGGAGACCACCUAGGAAGACCAGAUGCUAUAGGUA
rnacentral:rRNA from 1 species